UUGGAGGGCAAGUCUGGUGCCAGCAGCCGCGGUAAUUCCAGCUCCAAUAGCGUAUAUUAAAGUUGUUGCAGUUAAAAAGCUCGUAGUUGAAUUUCGGGAUCAAUACGUCGGUCGUGCUUUUUUGGUACGCACUGGCGUCAUUGGUUUCUCCUUUCUGACGAACCAUGAUGUCAUUAAUUUGGUGUUAUGGGGAGUUAGGACUGUUACUUUGAAAAAAUUAGAGUGUUUAAAGCAGGCAUUAGCUUGAAUACAUUAGCAUGGAAUAAUGAAAUAGGACGUUCGAUCCUAUUUUGUUGGUUUCUAGGAUCAACGUAAUGAUUAAUAGGGAUAGUUGGGGGCAUUAGUAUUCAAUUGUCAGAGGUGAAAUUCUUGGAUUUAUUGAAGACUAACUACUGCGAAAGCAUUUGCCAAGGAUGUUUUCAUUAAUCAAGAACGAAAGUUAGGGGAUCGAAGACGAUCAGAUACCGUCGUAGUCUUAACCAUAAACUAUGCCGACUAGGGAUCGGAUGAUGUUAAUUUUUUAAUGACUCAUUCGGCGCCUUACGGGAAAC
rnacentral:rRNA from 1 species